CUCACUAAAACCCCAUUCCCCUGUAUAUAAACCUCACACCUCGCACUCUCGUGGUCCUUUCGCUUUGGUCAUAUUUCUUUCGAAGAGUUUCUCUCUCUGACGUUGCGCUUUCUCUCUCUAGUCUUUGAUUCUUAUCCUUUGAAGGUCUGGUCAACAGAUGUCUUUUGAUUCUAUCGAGAAGAACCAGUGGUUUCUUUGGAUUGCUUUCUGUUUCAGGAACCGUCGGAGGCUUUGGUGUUCUCGUAAGGUCUUGUUUAGGCAUUGGACUUGACAGUAGUUAGUAUUAGUUUUGUGAGGAGGGGUGAUUGUUGGGGGGCUGUGGUGUGUGUAAUUGUGUCUUGGUGUUUCUUUUUCGGUGCAAUCUGCUUUAUUUUCUUUAGAAGGGGUUUUUUAGGUUGAGUGAAGUGCGUUGGAGUACUGUCAGUGGAGGUGUUCUAUAAUUGGUGUACUGUGGGGGCGUUCUAUUGUCAUUCCUUGAUGGCAAGGACGUCCCUUCCUCCAGGCUUUCGAUUCCAUCCAACUGAUGUCGAGCUGGUUAUGUAUUAUCUCAAGAGGAAGGCUAUGGGAAAGAGGCUUCUCUUUGACCCUAUUGCUGAGGUCAACAUUUAUAAAUUCUCUCCAUGGGAUCUUCCAGAUAAAUCGUGCUUGAAAAGUAAGGAUCUAGAGUGGUUCUUUUUCUGCCCUAGAGAGAAGAAGUAUGCUUGUGGGGUUCGAAUGAAGCGUGGUACUGAGAAUGGAUACUGGAAAACCACUGGAAAGGAUAGACCCGUCCAUUAUAAUGAGAAUGUUGUUGGUAUGGUGAGAACCUUGGUUUUUUACCUAGGUCAUGCACCACAAGGACAGAGAACCAAUUGGAUUAUUCAUGAGUAUAGGAUCCUAGAUGAGCAGUUGGCUGCUGCUGGACUUCAGGACCUCUAUGUGCUUUGUAAAGUCUUCCAGAAAGAUGGUCUGGGCCCAAAAAAUGGUGCACAGUAUGGGGCACCCUUUAAUGAGGCAGAUUGGGAUGACGAUAAUGAUGAUGAUAUACAAAACCAUGUCAUAUCUUUGCCAUCUGAUGGUCCGUCCCUUGCAGCAUCAACAUUGCCUGAAAAUCAAAACUGCUCUGUCGUAACAAGCAUGGUUGAUCCUGGAAGUAAGUCUGGACAAUCUAUUGAAAUUGGCCCGUCACAUUUCUCUGGUCCUUUGGCUAAUGAGGUGCCAGUGGAUUUGCUGGAUGAUGAAAUUGUUCACUUGUUGGCCUCUUUUACGGAUGACAGCGUGUUACUCAAUGAUAAUGGAAAUUAUGGGAAUCGAGAUGGUCUUAAUCAGAAUUGGAAGAAUGAAUCUUUACCUUGUCUGGAUGGAAAUGAAAUAUACAACGGUCUCUGUGACUUGGAUAAUUGGGACUCGAUGAAUGAAGGCAGACUUGAUUUUGCUGGCAUGCAGAAAGAUGGCUAUCCUCUGAACUACACGCUGCCACAAGAUAACAUAGCUUAUUUGGAACUUAAUGAUCUUGAAGUUCCAUUGAAUCACCCUGCUGAAGUUAAUGAAAUGGAACAGAUGCAAUUUGACAAUUUCUUCGGACCAUAUGCCCAGGUUGAUACAGAACAGCUAAUCUUUGGAGGAAAUUUUUCUGGUAUGGAUGAGUAUGCUUCUUUCCCAGAUCAUCUUCCUGUGCUGCCUGAAGGAUCCAACCGACAAGGCGGUUGUUUGGAUGUGCUUCAGAUGGAAAGCAGCCAGCGUGACCGUGGUCACAAUGCUGCUGCUCAGACUUUGACUUUUACUAGAGACUCUGAGAAGGGGGCAAAUUUCAUUUGAAACACGGAAAUGGGUAGUUUCGAUGAUAACUGAUAACAAUUCUGGACAUGGGAACAAACAUUCACUUUCAAUAUCUCAUUCUUCUGUAAUAUCAACAGGCAAACUUAUUUGGAAACUCAGGAGGUCCAAGAGGAAUAAGUUAUAUUCUGCAAAUCCCUGUUGAAACAGCAUGCCAUUUAGAACUGGAAUUCUACUUGUGGCAAGGCUUGAGGUGGUCUCCUGAUGUUCUGUAUUCUAGUGUCUGGUUGAGUUUCAUAUUUAUGGUGUCAUUUAACAUUUGUGUUGCUGAAAUCUAAAAAGAAACUCAUGAAAAUUAGACUUCAUACAAUGUAUUUGUACUCAUGAUUGACGGAUGAUUCAGCCUGCAGGGCCACAAUUAUCGAAAUCGUCCCUACUUUCCCACUAGCAAUUGCUGAUGUUUGUAGUUUCUUCUUAUGGUGGCUUUUCCAUAUAUUUCAAGGCUGAGGUGAAUCAUCGCAUUCACUAAGGACGCUUGUCGGUUAGGUUCGUGGAGUCGAUAUGUGUGGCUAACUUUCGUGAAAAAUUGGCCUGCUGUUGCUGUGGCUUUGCAUUUAUCAAAAUAUUUUUUUUGGUUAGUUUCCUUGAAUAAUUGCCAUUCUCAUGGAUUCCCGUGUCUAUUGGUGGAGUUAUUUGUAUUAUUAUUUCAACAAUAUCAAUUCUUGGGAAUAUCCUUCAUAUUGGAAAUUCUUGGGAAAAUGCCCUUUUUAUUCCUC